CAACGUAAUCCAACCACAAAUAUUCAAGACCACCUAACAUAUUUUUCAGAAGUUCAAAGAAACUCCCGAGUGGUAAAGCCAUUCUUGGUAGCCAUUUGUUACCAAGAUCGCUUACAACAUUGUCAACUGCAAAGACGGCUAACACAAUGCUAUCUCCAGCUCUAAAGAGCUCUUAAUACAUCGGAUGGAGAAAAAAGGGACAGAUUACCGCCGACGAUUAUGUGUAAAUAUACAGAAUGAAUUUUCAGCGUCAAUGACUCAAGCGCCCCUCCCGACAGUUUAAAUCGGAAUACUCGACAUGGGGAAGUAUCACACACAGUCGAAGACUAUCGCGUGUCGGUCUGCUUUUUUAUCCGGCCUUCAAAGAAAGUUUAUACCCGACCUCAUUAGACUCUGUAAUGACUAGCGAGAUGUUAUCUCCCGGCAACCCUCAACAGGUAGACAGAAAUCACUAGUCAAGGGAGAUUAUUCUUCAAUGACUAUCACAGUUUGGGCCACAAUAGAAACCCACAGGGAGUCUUGCUUCGAGUUCACGCCAAUGAAACAGAACAUACAAACUCCAGUAGUUAAUUGUCCAUCCACGCAAAGCAUUCCUGUGACCAUGAUCUGUACUCGCUCUCUUUGAGAAGGAGAAAGGGGUCUUACCAGGUCAAAUGUACUCUUUAAAGCCUUCGGCUAAGGUCAGUGACGUAGUAUCACUGAAAUUGUGUUAAGGAUUCAGGUCCCCUGGAUACGUAAAUACAUGUGACUGAAUCACUCAUGUCAGUAUCUCGUUUAUGCUUAUAUCAAAUUAAGAUAUUAGAUAUAGUUAAGUUGUAUACAAGAGAAAGUAUAUAUGUACAAUUUAUUGCAGAAUCUGUUUUUUUUUUCGGAUAAACUAUGUUUGUUGUUUCUUUAUAAUGGAAUUUGUAACGUUCUGUAUUUCAUGUUAAAUGUUCGUGAGUAACUGUAUUAAAAUGUUUAAAUAGAGCAUAUCAUUUUCAAAAGUCCCUUAUCGUUCAUUCAUAAUUAUUGAAUGAAGCAAUAUAAUUAAAUUUCAUAUUUUGAAAUUGAUGCUUAUCUCUUUAUAACUUGUCACAGAUGAUUGAGUUGAAAUUUUAAUUGAUUCAUUUCCUAAACAUUGUUAUUUAUUUUGAUAAAAAGUGUCAAGCAUGAACACAAGUUUCAACAAAGAACUGUUGUGUACGAGUUCAUACCGUAGAACGUCACAGCCAUUACGAAGCUAAUUCACCAACACAGAGGUACUCGUGAUGAAAGUAACCGCAAUACUUGACAAUAGUAAUUGUGUGAUAUUUGAACUUAGAAUCAUGAUAUCCUAAUCAUGACCAUUCAUGUCAUGGUGUUUAUUGUGACAUGCACAUAUUUAUUUCUAUAGAAGUUGUUUUUAUUUCUUGGUCAAGAGACGUUUUACUGAAUUUUGUAUAUUCUAUUAUAAAUUUCAUUUGAAUUUAAGACAGGUCUUAACCCGGAUAGUGGUACAUUAUUUCAAUAUAUAUAGGGAUUUUAGUUCUCUCCAGGGUGCGUAACUAAUGUUUGUAAUGCAAAUCUCAGCGAUAAGCAAGGCUUCCCAAAAUUAGAAAUAGCGCUGCCUUCAACACAUUUUAGAGACUAGAACAAAGCUUCUCGAAAGAUAAGCCAUGCAUAUUACCAUAUCAACUUUUUAAGCGAACGAGAUUAUCGCAAGAUUCAACUGGUGGGUUCACGUUUACAUCAAGGCCUGCAAAAAUGAUUAAAGCUGUAAAACCCAAAA